rnacentral:rRNA from 1 species
ACGCACGCUGGCGGCGUGCCUAAUACAUGCAAGUUGAGCGCUGAAGGUUGGUACUUGUACCAACUGGAUGAGCAGCGAACGGGUGAGUAACGCGUGGGGAAUCUGCCUUUGAGCGGGGGACAACAUUUGGAAACGAAUGCUAAUACCGCAUAAAAACUUUAAACACAAGUUUUAAGUUUGAAAGAUGCAAUUGCAUCACUCAAAGAUGAUCCCGCGUUGUAUUAGCUAGUUGGUGAGGUAAAGGCUCACCAAGGCGAUGAUACAUAGCCGACCUGAGAGGGUGAUCGGCCACAUUGGGACUGAGACACGGCCCAAACUCCUACGGGAGGCAGCAGUAGGGAAUCGUCGGCAAUGGACGAAAGUCUGACCGAGCAACGCCGCGUGAGUGAAGAAGGUUUUCGGAUCGUAAAACUCGGUUGGUAGAGAAGAACGUUGGUGAGAGUGGAAAGCUCAUCAAGUGACGGUAACUACCCAGAAAGGGACGGCUAACUACGUG